UACGUAGGUGGCAAGCGUUGUCCGGAUUUAUUGGGUUUAAAGGGUGCGUAGGCGGCUUUGUAAGUCAGUGGUGAAAUAUGGCAGCUCAACUGUCAAGGUGCCAUUGAUACUGCGGAGCUUGAGUACAGAUGAGGUAGGCGGAAUUGACGGUGUAGCGGUGAAAUGCUUAGAUAUCGUCAAGAACACCUAUAGCGAAGGCAGCUUACUAGGCUGUAACUGACGCUGAGGCACGAAAGCUAGGGGAGCGAAUGGG
rnacentral:rRNA from 1 species